rnacentral:lncRNA from 1 species
AUGUUCAUGAAGAAAACUGAGUUCUGGAACUAUAUUUUGUGCAAGAAAAAGACAAAACAAAAAAUCCUUAAAGUUCUCUCAACCAUCUCUUGCAAAGGCAAGUUCACCGACCAUUUUUCAGUAACUUUGGAGUCCUAGGAAUGUACUUUCUUCAAAUGAUCAGCUGGAAAAAAAAGACUUUAGUUUGAAGUCAGACUCUGGCAUGCUCGAAUACCAUAUGCCUGCACUAUUGAGAGACUGGAGCAGAGUAUCUGGAGAGAGAUGAGAGAGUGUGGGUGGCAAUAGAAAAAACAACCACGACUGUAAGUUAGCAAGAUAAUAUCCUUACUUUCUUCUGUGGGUCUCAAGAGUGAUUAAAAAAACAUUGGUGUUUUAAAAAUAUUGCUGAAGACUACAGUGUGACUCAUAAUGCUUCAGAGAAUGGAAUUCUUGGAAGUUUCACUGUAAUGCCAGAUCCUAGAACGGAGGGCAGCAGAGCUGCAGAGAAGUAACACAAGGUUAUGUUGACGGAGAAAGAACAUCUCUGAGGGAAAGCAGGCAGGACAGAAAGAAAGAAAGAAAA